CCAUACCGAUUCAUAGCGAUGCCAUGCCCGUGCGGUCUGUGUGUUUGUUUUGUCAAUGUUUUUUGUCGUGAUGGUCAAUUGAUAUGUAUGCCGACUGGCGGACCGAAUCGCAAUAUAGUGGGGUAGUGGCGGGCACACUCAGUUCUGGGAAGGAUGUCGCCCGUCGUGGAAUCAAUCUCGACCAAUGCCAGAGUGCAGUCGCAGCUGGCGAAAUGCGCAUCGAUUCGAGUACUCAUAGCAGUCAUAGCACUCGGAGCAACCGAUUUGGCAGAGAGUGGAAUACAUUUUUUACUUCGACGCCCACACAGGGACCAGACAGAGAGAGAAAGAGCGAGACAAAGGCCAGUCACACGACUAGAAAGAAGCACUUUCCGGUGCUAACCAGACGAUGAUGUGGGGCGGUGGGAGCGAUUUGCAUUCUAGUGGCGACUUUUUGGCAAAUGCGCUGACAGCUCGGCCCAGUCCAGACCCCUGUCCUGCCGCUCUGCUCUGAUUCUUCAGUCAGCGAUGGCUAUAUACAAUAUACAUACAUACAUAUAUGUACAUAUGCACCUCUCGAUAUGUGCUAAGUUUUAUGGGUGAAUAUAUCGCUGGCAUCGUACGAGUACGGGUAUUUUAAGUGCAAUUAAGAGGCAGAAAGGGAUCGGAUCGGAUCGGAUCUGACUUGCUAGCCAGACGCAGGAGAUUAAUCGAGAGACACUCGGAAUUGAUAGUGCCAUAUACUCGUAGUAGUGCCUCUAGACUAAACACAUCCAAUCUAAUUGCAUGUAUUUCAGUGUCGUGUGUGUUGGGGUGUGCCUCCUCCUCCUCCGCCUCCGCCCCCGCCUCAUCCUACUCCUACCCGAAGAGAUUUGCUUGAAUAAUUCGCCAGUCAGGUUGAGUCAAGUUGUUGGCAUAUCAGCGCUGACACUUUGAACACUCGUUUCGUCAUGUCGGCAUGUCACAAAGUCUUCUAUCUGUGCAAAAGCAGACCAUAUAACUUGAUCACAGCAAGAAGAGAUCCGGAACGAAGCCAACGUACUUCCAAUAGAUAUUGGCCCUCAGGAAAGGGCAGAAUUUGCGUAAAUCGGUGAUUGAUAAAAUCAACAGGAAGCUUCUCCAAAACGAGGUCAUGCUGCAAAAAAAUAAGGGACAUGAGUGGUUCACACUGGAGUAACUCAUAAAUGAUUCAUAGAAAAAUUUCACAACAGGACUGGAUUUGGGAUUGGCAAUAAAUUUGCAUGCAUUGAAGGUCAUAUUGUAAAGAAAGGGCUUGUAUCCAUUCAAUCGCUUUGAUAAUACCAUGUUAAUCUGUAAUAAUGAAGUGAAUGAUAAUUAAAAGAGCAUUUUGAUGGUUAUCUUGACAUAUCUACACACUUCCAUGGCUCUAAUGGGAAGUUGAUAAACCUUAAAUUUUCCCGAAAAGUAUUUAUAAGUCCGGUUUACAGAUUUCAGAAAGCAAUAGUCGAACUUCCCGAACUUCGGAUCCAACGCAGUGCAGUUGACAUUUGUAAACUCAAACCGGGAAUGGAUCUGGAAGUUGAUUUAAUAAUUAUAUGUGAAUUGUAUUGUGUUUACACGCUGUGCAAUCCUUACUUCUAUAAAAAAAUGUAGGAUCACAACGAUCAGAAUCAGGGAGCUUAUCUUAUGGGCCAUCCUGUAUUUUCGACGAUGCAAAGAACACUGUUUGCUCCAUAGAAAUUUUGUAUUAACUCUUAAUAAAUCACUUAGUAUG